CAAGGAUUUCCUAGUAACGGCGAGUGAAGCGGGAACACCUCAACUUUAAAAUCUGCGAUGCUUGCAUCGUCAGAAUUGUAGUUAAGAGAAGUGUCUUCCCUGGGAUGCCUGUCAGCCUAAGUUGCUUGGAACAGCACGUCAUAGAGGGUGAGAACCCCGUCUGUGGCUUGGUGGGCGCCUGGUAUGAUGCACUUUCGACGAGUCGGGUUGUUUGGGAAUGCAGCCCUAACUGGGUGGUAAACUCCAUCUAAAGCUAAAUAUUGCCACGAGACCGAUAGCGAACAAGUACCGUGAGGGAAAGAUGAAAAGCACUUUGAAAAGAGAGUUAAAAGCACGUGAAGCCGUUGAAAGGGAAACGCGCUCGGCUAGCAAUGUGCCACGACGGUUCAGCCGUUUUGGGCGGCGAGGUGGCUGCUGUCGGAUCCGAAUGGACCGCUGUAGUCGUCGUCGCUGUCCGAGACGCGGUGCACUCUUUCGUGGUACGCGUCAGCGUCGGUUCGCAGCGGGCGAAAAGGCCUUGUGGAAGGUAGCUCGGGGCUUGCUCUGAGUGUUAUAGACACAGGUGCUGGGUCUGCUGCGGACCGAGGAGAGAGAGUAUCGUUGCAGCGCAUGCCGCAAGGCUAGCUACCCGUCGUCUGGCUCGCUUCACGGACCGAGGACUGCACGCAGUGCUUGGACUGGCGGAGUGGCCAGGCGGUGGAGUGGUAUAAAUGCGCUCAGGACGCUGGCGUCCAAAUGGCCGUGCGCGACCCGUCUUGAAACACGGACCAAGGAGUCUAACAUGUGCGCGAGUCUUUGGGUGGCGAAACCCGUGGGCGCAAUGAAAGUGAAGGCCUCUCACGAGGCUGAGGUGAGAGCUGGUGCUGCGGUGUCAGUGCAUCAUCGACCGGUCUAGUCUUCUCCAAGACGGAUCCGAGUAAGAGCGUAUUUGUUGGGACCCGAAAGAUGGUGAACUAUGCCUGAAUAGGGUGAAGCCAGAGGAAACUCUGGUGGAGGCUCGUAGCGAUUCUGACGUGCAAAUCGAUCGUCAAAUUUGGGUAUAGGGGCGAAAGACUAAUCGAACCAUCUAGUAGCUGGUUCCCUCCGAAGUUUCCCUCAGGAUAGCUGGAACUCGUGACACAGUUUUAUCAGGUAAAGCGAAUGAUUAGAGGUCUUGGGGGUGAAACACCCUCAACCUAUUCUCAAACUUUAAAUAGGUAAGAAGCGUGACUUGCUUGAUUGAAGCCACGCGUUUCAAUGUGAGUUCCAAGUGGGCCAUUUUUGGUAAGCAGAACUGGCGAUGCGGGAUGAACCGAACGCUCGGUUAAGGUGCCUAAGUCGACGCUCAUCAGACCCCAGAAAAGGUGUUGGUUGAUAUAGACAGCAGGACGGUGGCCAUGGAAGUCGGAAUCCGCUAAGGAGUGUGUAACAACUCACCUGCCGAAUCAACUAGCCCUGAAAAUGGAUGGCGCUAAAGCGUCGCACCUAUACCGGGCCGUUGCUGUAAAUGCCAUGCGGCAACGAGUAGGAGGGCGCGGGGGUCGUGACGCAGCCUUUGGCGUGAGCCUGGGUCAAACGGCCUCUGGUGCAGAUCUUGGUGGUAGUAGCAAAUAUUCAAAUGAGAGCUUUGAAGACCGAAGUGGAGAAAGGUUCCAUGUGAACAGCAGUUGGACAUGGGUUAGUCGACCCUAAGAGAUAGGGAAGCUCCGUUCUGAAGUGUGCGACUUCGCACCGCCUAUCGAAAGGGAAUCGGGUUAAUAUUCCCGAACCAGAACGCGGAUAUUGGCUUUCGGGCCAGGAGCGGCAACGCAACCGAACUGGGAGACGUUGGCGGGAGCUCCGGGAAGAGUUUUCUUUUCUUUUUAACGGGCCAUCACCCUGGAAUCGGUUUGCCCGGAGAUAGGGUUCGCUGGCUCGGUAAAGCAAAACACUUCUUGUUUUGUCCGGUGCGCUCUCGACGGCCCUUGAAAAUCCCAGGGAGUGAGUAAUUUUCGUGUCUGGUCGUACUCAUAACCGCAUCAGGUCUCCAAGGU
rnacentral:rRNA from 1 species